ACAAGCGGUGGAGCAUGUGGUUUAAUUCGAUGCAACGCGCAGAACCUACCUGGGCUUGAACUGUGAGGGACAACUCCCGAAAAGGAGCCUUUUCUUCGGAAACCGUCACAGAGGUGCUGCAUGGCUGUCGUCAGCUCGUGUCGUGAGAUGUUGGGUUAAGUCCCGCAAACGAGCGCAACCCCUACCCUUAGUUGCCAGCGGAUCAUGCCGGGAACUCUAGGGGGACUGCCCCGGAAAUCGGGGAGGAAGGUGGGGAUGACGUCAAGUCCUCAUGGCCUUUAUGUCCAGGGCUACACACGUGCUACAAUGGGCGGUACAAAGGGUUGCGAAGCUGUGAAGUGGAGCUAAUCCCACAAAACCGUCCUCAGUUCGGAUUGCAGUCUGCAACUCGACUGCAUGAAGUUGGAAUCGCUAGUAAUCCCGGAUCAGCAUGCCGGGGUGAAUACGUUCCCGGGCCUUGUACACACCGCCCGUCACAUCACGAAAGUCGGCUGUACCGAAGCCGGUGGGCUAACCCGCAAGGAAGCAGCUGUCCAUGUAUGUCGCGUGG
rnacentral:rRNA from 1 species